AUUGAACGCUGGCGGCAUGCCUAACACAUGCAAGUCGAACGGAGGUAGGGGCAACUCUACUUCAGUGGCGGACGGGUGAGGAAUGCGUCGGAAUCUACCCUAUGGUGGGGGAUAACACAGGGAAACUUGUGCUAAUACCGCAUGAUGUCGAGAGACCAAAGCUUUUGCGGUACAGGAUGGACCCGCGUCUGAUUAGCUAGUUGGUAAGGUAACGGCUUACCAAGGCGACGAUCAGUAGCCGACCUGAGAGGGUGAUCGGCCACAUUGGAACUGAGACACGGUCCAAACUCCUACGGGAGGCAGCAGUGGGGAAUAUUGCACAAUGGGCGAAAGCCUGAUGCAGCAACGCCGCGUGAGCGAUGAAGGCCUUCGGGUCGUAAAGCUCUGUCCUCAAGGAAGAUAAUGACGGUACUUGAGGAGGAAGCCCCGGCUAACUACGUGCCAGCCGCCGCAGUAAAAC
rnacentral:rRNA from 1 species